AGUGAAAUUGCUGGGUCAUAUGGUAAUUCUAUUUCACUUUUUGAGGAACUGCCAAACUGUUUUCCAAAGCAGCUGCACCCUUUUACAUUUCUACCAGCAAU
rnacentral:pre_miRNA from 1 species